rnacentral:rRNA from 1 species
UCCUACGGGGCGCAGCAGUGGGGAAUAUUGCACAAUGGGGGAAACCCUGAUGCAGCGACGCCGCGUGAGCGAUGAAGUAUUUCGGUAUGUAAAGCUCUAUCAGCAGGGAAGAAAAUGACGGUACCUGACUAAGAAGCCCCGGCUAACUACGUGCCAGCAGCCGCGGUAAUACGUAGGGGGCAAGCGUUAUCCGGAUUUACUGGGUGUAAAGGGAGCGUAGACGGUCCUGCAAGCCAGAUGUGAAAGCCCGGGGCCCAACCCCGGGACUGCAUUUGGAGCGGUAGGGCUGGAGGGUCGGAGAGGCG